CAGCCGCCACGGGAAUACAGAGGGUGCGAGCGUUAUUCGGAUUUACUGGGCGUAAAGCGUGCGUAGGCGGCUUCUUAAGUCGGAUGUGAAAUCCCUGAGCUUAACUUAGGAAUUGCAUUCGAUACUGGGAAGCUAGAGUAUGGGAGAGGAUGGUAGAAUUCAAGGUGUAGCGGUGAAAUGCGUAGAGAUCUGGAGGAAUACCGAUGGCGAAGGCAGCCAUCUGGCCUAAUACUGACGCUGAGGUACGAAAGCAUGGGGAGCAAACAGGAUUAGAUACCCCCGUAGUCCCUGUCUCUUAUAA
rnacentral:rRNA from 1 species